rnacentral:rRNA from 1 species
UAACCUGCCCAAGAGAUCGGGAUAACACCUGGAAACAGAUGCUAAUACCGGAUAAUAACAGAUGAUGCCUAUCAACUGUUUAAAAGAUGGUUCUGCUAUCACUCUUGGAUGGACCUGCGGUGCAUUAGCUAGUUGGUAGGGUAACGGCCUACCAAGGCGAUGAUGCAUAGCCGAGUUGAGAGACUGAUAGGCCACAUUGGGACUGAGACACGGCCCAAACUCCUACGGGAGGCAGCAGCC